AUGCCGCCGCCGCCGGCGCGCCGCACCCUCGGUGGCAACGCCUCGGCCCCGCUGACCAGCCUCCCGAACGACCUCGUCGAGGAGAUCUUCCUCCGCCUGCCCACGGCCACCGACCUCGCCCGCGCAUCCAUGGCCUGUGCCUCCUUCCGCCGCAUCAUCGCCGGCCACUUCUUCCUCCGCCGCUUCCGCGCCCUCCACCGGCCGCCUCUCGUUGGCGUACUCGCAUACGACUCAGCCGAGCGGAAGAGCCUCUCGGUCGCCUUCCUCCCGGCCCAGCCGCCCCACCCCUCCGCUGCCGCGGCCGCCCUCACCCUCGCGGCCGCCGACUUCUCCUGCUCAUUCCUACCCUCCCCGGAGCUCUGGAGUACCCGUGACUUCCGCGACGGCCGCGCCCUCCUCUCCAAGCAGGGGGAUUCGCUGGCCAACCUCGCCGUAUGCGACCCGCUGCACCGGCGCUACCUCCUGCUACCUGCCAUCCCCCACGACCUAGCUGUUCUAGCCAGGCAGCUGAAGCUCAUGCAUUGUGGACCCUUCCUUGCUCCUGCCGGCGAGAACGAGGGUGACAGUGCCAACGCUCCCUCGGGCUUCAGAGUCAUGUGCUUGCGCAUGUCCUCAACCAAGCUAGUCCUCUUUGUCUUCUAUUCGUCGGGUGCCCGUGCCGGCCAAUGGCACACUGUCACAUUUGAUGGUUGGAGCGCCUUGAUCGCACAAUAUGUCAGCGCGGGUUUCUUCCCGGGCACUGUGCCACUGCCCAUACGUCGCCAUUAUGCGCACGGAUGCUUCUAUUGGGAGAUACCUUAUACCCGCAAGUUGCUCGUGUUGGACACGCUCAUGGAGUUCUCUUCUCUCAGCCCCCUACUCGGUCGUUAUCAGAGGGUCUUUGUGGAGGCAAGGGAAGGAAGGCUUGGGAUGAUUAGUCAUGGUAUUAAUGGAGAUCGCCUCUUGUAUGACAUUUUGCGAGAUAAUGAGGAUGGCACAAAACAAUGGCAAAUGGAGGACGUAAUUCCGGUGCCCCAUUAUUAUGGUGUCAGGUACGAGUGGCACACAAGCACAUGCAGAGCCCAGCAGCUCUGUAGAGGCCAGCUGGCUGCCGCCGCGCCGUGA
rnacentral:rRNA from 1 species